GCGCACGCUGGCGGCAGGCCUCACCCCUGCAAGUCGAACGAACUCUUCGGAGUUAGUGGCGGAGGGGUGAGUAACACGUGGGAACGUGCCUUUUGGUUCGGAAUAACUCAGGGAAACUUGUGCUAAUACCGAAUGUGCCCUUCGGGGGAAAGAUUUAUCGCCAUUAGAGCGGCCCGCGUCUGAUUAGCUAGUUGGUGAGGUAACGGCUCACCAAGGCGACGAUCAGUAGCUGGUCUGAGAGGAUGACCAGCCACACUGGGACUGAGACACGGCCCAGACUCCUACGGGAGGCAGCAGUGGGGAAUCUUGCGCAAUGGGCGAAAGCCUGACGCAGCCAUGCCGCGUGAAUGAUGAAGGUCUUAGGAUUGUAAAAUUCUUUCACCGGGGACGAUAAUGACGGUACCCGGAGAAGAAGCCCCGGCUAACUUCGUG
rnacentral:rRNA from 1 species